ensembl:lncRNA
AUGGCACCGACCUGCACCCUCGCUAUCCUCGCCGCCCUCCCGGAACCGGAUGGGAGUUUGGACCGGGAGACGCUCCAGGAUCACUCCAGCUAUGAGGGAACGAGGCUGGCCAUCUGCUCCCCCGGAGUCGGUCCACGGUGUGGGGAAAGACGCCGGACUCCACCACCAUCCGGGGUCUCCAGACGGAGCUGUGAGCUUGCUUCUGCCCCUGCCCGGCGCGGCUGUUCGGACACGCCCCCGGCCAGACCACCAGUCCCGUCUCCUGCCGAACCGACGCCUCCGUCGUCUGCAGGGGGAGGAGCAGCAAUCGCAGCCCGGCUGAUAGAGCUCCAGGCGGAGCUCGGCCGGUUCCGCGAGCUCAUCAGCCUCCAGGAGUCUCACCUGGACGCUCUAACCUCCCCGAACCGCCAGGAGAGGGCCUCGGGCCAGCAUGCAACUUCUUCCUCAUGUCAGGGCCAGAGGAGCGAGCCCGGGGUUCACCCAGCGGAGCUCGCCGGUCAGCAGGCUGAGCUGGUCCAGCUCCGUUGGACGCUCAGCCUCAGGGAGCUACAGCUGGAUGAUCUGACCUCCCUCCUCUCCUCAUCGUUCCCAGCUCUCCCAGCAGCGGCUCUGCCACCGGCCCAGAGGCUGACGGUACCGGCCCAUAAGCCGACGGAGCGGGCCCAGAGGCAGAGGGUACCGGCCCGGAAGCAGACGGUACCGGAUCCGGUCCAUAAGUCGGUGGUCCAGAAGUCCAGGGACCAGAAGCCGACUCCCCCGGGCCAGAAGCAGACGUCCCCAGACCAGAAGCAGACGGUUCCGGUUCCGGUCCAGAGACCAGCGGUCCAGAGGUCGACGGUCCGAAAAUCGAAGGACCAGAAGUCGACGCCCCUGGACCCGAAGCCGACGCCCCCGGACCAGAAGUCGAUGGUGGUCGACGCCCGGUCCGGUCCUGUGGUCGACGCCCCUUCCUGUUCUGAAGUCGCCGCUCCUUCCUGUUCUGAAGUCGCCACCCAUUCCUGUUCUGAAGUCGCCGCCCCUUCCUGUUCUGAAGUCGUCUCCGAAGUCGACAUGUCUGAAGUCGUCUCCGAAGUCGACGUGUCUGAAGUCGUCUCCGAAGUCGUCUCCUCUGAAGUCGUCUCCUCUGAAGUCGUCUCCAAAGUCCACGUGUCUGAAGUCGUCUCAGAAGUCAACAUGUCUGAAGUCGUCUCCGAAGUCGACGUGUCUGAAGUCGUCUCCGAAGUUGACGUGUCUGAAGUCGUCUCCGAAGUCGACGUGUCUGAAGUCGUCUCCGAAGUCGACGUGUCUGAAGUCGUCUCCGAAGUCGUCUCCUCUGAAGUCGUCUCCGAAGUCGUCUCCUCUGAAGUCGUCUCCAAAGUCCACAUGUCUGAAGUCGUCUCAGAAGUCGACAUGUCUGAAGUCGUCUCCGAAGUCGACGUGUCUGAAGUCGUCUCCGAAGUUGACGAGUCUGAAGUCGUCUCCGAAUUCGACGUGUCUGAAGUCGCCUCCGAAGUCAACGUGUCUGAAGUCGUCUCCCCUGAAGUCGCCUCCGAAAUCGACGUGUCUGAAGUCGUCUUCCCUGAAGUCGCCUCCGAAGUCGACGUGUCUGAAGUCGUCUCCCCUGAAGUCGACUCCGAAGUCGACGUGUCUGAUGACGUCUCCCAAGUCGGCUCGUCUGACGACGUCGCCUCCCAAGUCGGCUCGUCUAACGACGUUGCCUCCCAAGUCGGCUCGUCUGACGACGUCGCCUCCUCUGAUGUCGACGCCUCAUCUGAUGUCGCCUCGUCUGAGGAUGCUCUCUGCACUCCAGAGGUCGACGCUCUCUUCACUCCAGGUGUCGACGCUCCUUCCAGUCCAACGUCUCCACCAUCUCCGGUUCUGAGGGUGGUUCUGAAGGUCGCUCCGGCCCAGCUUGCAGAGACGUUGUCACCGGCCCAGCCUGCAGAGACGUUGUCACCGGCC